rnacentral:rRNA from 1 species
GUGGGGAAUAUUGCACAAUGGGCGAAAGCCUGAUGCAGCAACGCCGCGUGAGUGAUGACGGCCUUCGGGUUGUAAAGCUCUGUCUUCUGGGACGAUAAUGACGGUACCAGAGGAGGAAGCCACGGCUAACUACGUGCCAGCAGCCGCGGGAAUACGUAGGUGGCAAGCGUUGUCCGGAUUUACUGGGCGUCAAGGAUGCGUAGGCGGAUACUUAAGUCAGAUGUGAAAAUCCCGGGCUUAACUUGGGGACUGCAUUUGAAACUGGGUAGCUAGAGUGCGGGAGAGGACAGUGGAAUUCCUAGUGUAGCGGUGAAAUGCGUAGAGAUUAGGAAGAACACCAGUGGCGAAGGCGACUUUCUGGACCGUAACUGACGCUGAGGCAUGAAAGCGUGGGGAGCAAACA